AUUUAAAUAGUUUAAAAAAAAUAUUGAUUUGUGGUGUCAAUGAUGUAAUAGUUUACUUUAAAUC
rnacentral:tRNA from 1 species